CCAGAAAUAGACUAUUGAACACAAAAUAAUAUCUUAAAAAUGAUACCCAACAACUUAUUGAAUUUGCACAAGUGCUGCUUAAUGCUACGAAAUCAAGAGGAAAGAAAACAAAAGAUAUCUGAGUAAGAAGUAAAGCAAAAAGAAAAAUUUGACAGGGAUGGGGGAGAAAAUAUCAGAAAGAUGAAGAGAAAAAUGACUCUCUUUUUUUUCUGAAAGAGGAAAAAAUGAUCAGAUUUUGGAUAUACUCCCCCUAAUUCACUCAAAAAAUCGCUCCCAAACUUCACUACACAUCCACCACUCAGAAACCUAGUUUAGCACAACUCUUGCCGAAAUUAGAAGCAAAAAAAAAAUACAACCCUUGCCAUCCCAAGGAUUCGAACCCAUGAGACCUCCACCAAAAUAAUACACCAUUUAACCACCAG
rnacentral:lncRNA from 1 species